rnacentral:lncRNA from 1 species
GUGCCCAUUAGUGGAGAGAAAGACAAUUCAUAUGGUUGUGACUGUCUUUCCUUUCAGUUGGCAACCAAGAGAAGAGACAGACUCGGCUCCAAUCCUUUGGAGUAUUGAUAAGAGAAGGUAUUGUGGGAAAUGACCCUGUGCCUUUUCUGUUUCUCCUGCCAGAGUCGGUAGGGUUUGGACUGAUCUCUCUUUUAUUUCUCCAGGUAGCAGAGAGGUUUCUUUCCCCUUUAGAGGAGAAGAUAGUGUACAGACCCCCUUAUUAGAGAAGAUAGUGUACUGACCCCUUUAGUAGAGAAGAUAGUGUACAGAGAAGAUAGUAGAGAAGAUAGUGUACAGAGAAGAUAGUAGGGAAGAUAGUGUACCCCUUAUUAGAGAAGAUUGCUCUGCCUGCAGCUGUACCCAUGGACAAGCUUGGAUUCCAACAGUUCUGUUCACAGCAAGUGAGUCCCCACUUGUGUGUAUUUCUCCUGCUGAUCUACUCGCCCCCCUGGGAUUGUUUCCAGCAUUUUCUCGCCUGCACUUGGAUGUUGAUGCUUUUGCAUCUCUUUAAGCAGUGCAGCUGUGGCAGUUCCCUGCUUAGAGAGAAGCUGGAAUUCGUUGGCACUGGAGCACGUUGUCCCAGGAAGCGACUACUCCCUGCCAGGACUAUUUGGUACCCGAAGCCGAGCACGCAGAUCAUCCUGGGAGGACAAAGAGCCAAAACACAGCUGGUUUCCAAAGGUCUGGCCUCCACUGAGUGUGACACAGACAGUUGCAAAAUCCUGAUUUCCAGCACUUGCUGGAUCCUGAGCCAGUUGGUGUGACUGGGCAGGUGUGGGUCUGGGUCCUGUCUUUGGGAAUGUUAAUUGGUCAGGCUUGAUGACCCUCUGGGUUUGUCUCCUUCCUUUUUCUUCCCUUCCCAACUGCAAACAGGAACGUUUUUCCCAUUCCACAGAUCCGUACCAGUCAGUGGGACUGACCAGGCUGGUUCCUGUCACUUCCUGCCCCAGC